AUGGACCAGAGCUGGGGAAUCCUCCUCUUGGUGGCUGUGGAUACAGGUGUCCACUCCCAGGUGCAGCUGGUGUAGUCUGGGGCUGAGGUGAGGAAGCCUGGGGCAUCAGUCAAAGUCUCCUGCAAGGCAUCUGGAUACACCUUCACUGACUACUUCACACACCGGGUGCAACACGCCCCUGGACAAGGGCAUGACUGGAUGGUACGGAUCAACCCAAACAGUGGUGGCACAGACUAUACACAGAAGCUCCAGGGCAGAGUCACCAUGACCAGCAACAUGUCCACGAGCACAGCCUACAUGGAGCUGAGCAGUUCAAGGUCUGAGGACACAGCCGUGUAUUACUGUGGGAGAGACGCAGUGUGA